AAUAAGCUUUACAUUUUAAAAUUAAUGCAGAUUCAGUAUGUAAACGUUUUCAGUUUCAAAUUAAUAGGAACUGCUUAUAGACUUGUACAGAUGAAGGUUUUGCAGCAAUCCAUGAAAAGUCCCAGCCACAAAAACACAAUUUUCCAUAUUCCAUACCUCCUUGUGACAUUCAUGAUGCCAAACAUUACUUUCCAUUCUCAGGGUGACUCAGGUGGACCGCUAGUGACUACAGGCAACACAGCUCAAACAUUCUAUGUCCUGAUUGGAGUGGUCUCCUGGGGUAAUGGUUGCGCCCUUCCAAAUUACCCUGGGGUCUAUUCCCGAGUGCCCAACUAUCUCCCUUGGAUAAAUUCAAACAUAGCAGGUUCUGUAACUUGUCCAAGUCCACCAUGAGAACUGUUAAUGCAUUGGGUGGACCACUGAAGAACUACAGAGCAUGACUGGACAUGAAAGAUUAAUAUCAUUGAUCAUGGAAUUAUUGAUGUGUGCUUUAGACUUUGCUCUGAAAUGAGAAAUAAGAAAUCUGGUUUGAAUAUUUACUUCUCAAAUUAUUGUUCUAACUAUGGUAAAUUAAAUACAGCACUUAAGCAUUCAGAUAAA